rnacentral:rRNA from 1 species
UACGGGGGGGGCAAGCGUUGUCCGGAAUCAUUGGGCGUAAAGAGCGUGUAGGCGGCCCGGUAAGUCCGCUGUGAAAGUCCAGGGCUCAACCCUGGGAUGCCGGUGGAUACUGUCGGGCUCGAGUCCGGAAGAGGAGUGUGGAAUUCCUGGUGUAGCGGUGAAAUGCGCAGAUAUCUGGAGGAAUACCGGUGGCGAAGGCGGCAUCCUGGACCGGCAUUGACGCUGAUGAGCGAAAGCUAGGGGAGCAAACGGG